GACAGAGGUGCCGAGCGUUAGGCGGAAUCACUGGGCUUAAAGCGUGUGUAGGCGGCCCGUUAAGUGUCCCGUGAAAUCCCCCGGCUCAACCGGGGAACCGCGGGGCAUACUGGCGGGCUUGGGCCACUCAGGGGCAGACGGAACAGGCGGUGGAGCGGUGAAAUGCGUAGAGAUCGGAAAGAACACCAACGGCGAAAGCACUCUGCUGGGCCGACACUGACACUGAGAGACGAAAGCUAGGGGAGCGAAUGGG
rnacentral:rRNA from 1 species